rnacentral:lncRNA from 1 species
UAUGAAAAUUUAUCAUUACCUGGAAAUUCUUCCUGCAAGUUCAAUACCUUCAAAACUUCAUAUUUGUAUGCUUCUCUUAAACAGGGAAACAGAAUUCCCACUCAAAUGCUUUAGCAAGGACUGCUUCAGAACCAUAAUAAGAUGCCAUGAUAGUUGGUGAAGCGGGGGAAACAGGAUCUGACUUCGUCACCCAGGCUGGAGUGCAGUGGUGCAAUCUUGGCUCACUGCAGCCUCCGUCUCCCAGGCUCAAGUGAUCUUCCCACCUCAGCCUCCUGAGUAGCUGGUACUACAGGUGAGUAC